GAGGGAAUUGACUUCUACACCUCCAUUACCCGUGCUCGAUUUGAGGAGUUGAAUGCUGACCUGUUCCGUGGCACACUGGACCCUGUAGAGAAGGCCCUUCGAGAUGCCAAACUAGACAAGUCACAGAUCCAUGAUAUUGUCCUGGUGGGUGGUUCUACCAGAAUCCCCAAGAUCCAGAAACUUCUGCAAGACUUCUUCAAUGGAAAAGAGCUGAAUAAGAGCAUUAACCCCGAUGAAGCUGUUGCCUAUGGUGCAGCUGUCCAGGCAGCCAUUCUAUCUGGAGACAAGUCUGAGAAUGUUCAGGAUUUGCUGCUCUUGGAUGUCACUCCUCUUUCCCUUGGGAUUGAAACUGCUGGUGGAGUCAUGACUGUCCUCAUCAAGCGCAAUACCACCAUUCCCACCAAGCAGACCCAGACUUUCACCACCUACUCUGACAACCAGCCAGGUGUACUCAUCCAGGUGUAUGAAGGUGAAAGGGCCAUGACCAAGGACAACAACCUGCUUGGGAAGUUUGAGCUCACAGGCAUACCUCCAGCACCCCGUGGGGUUCCUCAGAUUGAGGUUACUUUUGACAUUGAUGCCAAUGGCAUCCUCAAUGUUUCUGCUGUAGAUAAGAGCACAGGAAAGGAGAACAAGAUCACCAUCACCAAUGACAAGGGCCGCUUGAGUAAGGAGGAUAUUGAGCGCAUGGUCCAAGAAGCUGAGAAGUACAAAGCUGAGGAUGAGAAGCAGAGAGAUAAGGUUUCCUCUAAGAACUCGCUGGAGUCUUAUGCUUUCAACAUGAAAGCAACUGUUGAGGAUGAGAAACUUCAAGGCAAGAUCAAUGAUGAAGACAAACAGAAGAUUCUUGACAAGUGCAACGAAAUCAUCAGCUGGCUGGAUAAGAACCAGACUGCGGAGAAGGAAGAAUUUGAGCAUCAGCAGAAAGAACUGGAGAAGGUCUGCAACCCUAUCAUCACCAAGCUGUACCAGAGUGCUGGUGGCAUGCCUGGAGGAAUGCCUGGUGGCUUCCCUGGUGGAGGAGCUCCUCCAUCUGGUGGUGCUUCUUCAGGCCCCACCAUUGAAGAGGUCGAUUAAGUCAAAGUAGAGGGUAUAGCAUUGUUCCACAGGGACCCAAAACAAGUAACAUGGAAUAAUAAAACUAUUUAAAUUGGCAC
rnacentral:lncRNA from 1 species